rnacentral:lncRNA from 1 species
GCACUUUUAAGGUUACAACACUUGCUGAACUUUGGCACACUUUUCUGUGGACCAAAGAAGACCUCUCCCUCACUGUAGCUGGUGGGGACCUGCCUGGGAAACACCUGCAACGGGCCACAGGGACAGGGGUCAGUCAUCCAGAUCAUGCAGCCAGAAUUCAGAGGUUUAAAAAACAGCCCUCAGUGAAACCCUGAUGGCAUAAGGCAGGGUUUACCCCGCCUUUCCAGAGUGGGGAAAGGUCACAACGUGUAUCUGUGCAAAUACACAAGAGCUCCGGACUGCUGGGACCCAGAGACAGAAACAGAUUCGCCCAUCCCUGUAAACCUAGGAGCAGGAAACACUGCAGUAUCCUGAGCUGAAGAACAGAGGGAGACAAAGGAAUCUGAGCACACUGAAACUCGAGAAAGCCUCAUAUCUCUACACUGUAAUGCCCAGUACCUCAGGGCUUCAUCUCAGAUUUCCCCUCAAAUUCCUUCAUUGGAUAAUCUGGAAGACUGUGCAGAAAGAGCUCUGAAGACAGUUUCCGCAGGAAUGUCAGCUCGGAAAUCCCUCCAUCCUCUGAUGUGCCUCUCAGUCAGUCAGGAAAAUAUCAGCUGCCAGGAUGAAACUCUGGAUAAACAAGAAGAAAAUCCUAGUUACUGCUCCCAAGGAUCACGAAGCCUUCUGCAGGCUACACAAAGGAAGGGAAGUUGA